rnacentral:rRNA from 1 species
AUACGUAGGGGGCGAGCGUUGUCCGGAAUGAUUGGGCGUAAAGGGCGCGUAGGCGGCUUUGCAAGUCAGUAGUGGAAGUCCAUUUUUCAAGGAUGGAAGUGCUACAGAAACUGCGGAGCUUGAGUGCAGGAGAGGUUAUCGGCAUUCCAGGUGUAGCGGUGAAAUGCGUAGAGAUCGGGAGGAACACCAAUGGCGAAGGCGGGUAACUGGACUGCAACUGACGCUGAGGCGCGAAAGUGUGGGGAGCAAACAGGAUUAGAUACCCUGGUAGUCCACACUGUAAACGAUGAAUGCUAGGUGUAGGAGGUAUCGACCCCUUCUGUGCCGCAGUAAACACAGUAAGCAUUCCGCCUGGGGAGUACGGUCGCAAGAUUAAAACUCAAAUGAAUUGACGGGG